AUAAAAAAAUCUUUGGAGGGGAGGGGAAAGAAGGAUGGAUCUCCUGAAAUCCCCCUCCAAAGAAAGGGGGGGAGGGAAAAAAGAAACCGACCCCCCCCCCAGUCAGUGAUUUCCCGGAGAAAAAGAAUAAUGAGAAAAACUAAAAAACGUGGGGGAAAAAUAUCCCCCCCCCCUCCCCCCCUUCCUUCAGUGCCAGUCAAAGAAUUCGUUUCUUCUUCCUUUCAGCAUCCUCUCAACAAGAGACAUCCUCUGGCAAUGGAGAAAAUCCCAAGAGAAAGAAAAAUAAAAUGCCCCGAAAUGAGCUUAGCAAAAUGUGAUAUCGAAUCUCACAGGUCAGUUGAGCACCAUCACCAAGGAGGAAGGAGAAGACAACAAAGCCAGAACCUGGGCACUGCAGGAGCAGGGAGUUUCUGGAGCAAACCUUGAAGCUGACUCCUCCAAAUUAUACAUUGAUGGGCUGAAGCCUGGGCAAUAGAAGAGAUCAUUCCUGUGUAUUGCAGGUGUAGUGGAAAUGCUGUCAUUGCUUGAAGCAGUGAUUGAGCACCUGGUGGGAAAACAAAGCCAACCCAGGGGAGCUCAGGUGCAUGCAAUGUACCUGAGUGACCAGAAGGGGUGGAGCCAGGAUCCACCCCUUCCCAAACCUCAUUUAAGGGCUGGCAAGGGAAGUAAGCACUUCUUGUUGAAGAUCUCUUUGUUUCUGAGACCUUCUAAAGGUAAGUAGCUUUUUCCCUGUUUUUUUUUUUUUUUUUUCUUUUUUUCUCCUUUUCUUUUUUGUGGCUGUUGUAUUUGAACAUAUUGUCAUUUGCUGUUGCUUAGGACUUUGCUGCUUAGCUGUCAUUGCUGUGCUUUCCAUUGUGUUACAGCAGGGUGCCUAUUUCUUUCAUUAGCCUGAUGUUGAUCAAGUCCAUGUAUCCUUCAGCCCAGGCACAUAGGACUCUGUAUUUUGUUCCAUGAUAGAGCUUGUGAUGGUUCCCUUCAGGGGCAGUGACCCAGUGGCUGGAGUCACCUCAGCCAGGAGAUCCUGUUUAUUCUUGCACCAAUGAAAUGCUCUCUAGCUCUUAUGUGUUCAGUCAUUUCCAAUGCUAGAGCCCACACUGGGACUCAGGCUCCAGAAAGGGCUGGCUGGGCCACCAGCUUGAUGUUUGUUUGUAAGUACUGACUGUAUGUACAGGGUUUGUAGGGGUCAUCCAGGCUCAAUUGUGCUCUGGAAAUAACAGGAAAAGAUAACAUGUGUUGUCACAGUGUGGAGGACAGUGGUGAGUGAUAUAACAAAGGGAAUGCGUGGAAGGUGCUUGAGUAAAAGCCCUACUGAAGGGAGCAUCACAAAGACUGAGAGCUUCAGAAUGUCAGCUAAAUUCAUAGUUUCCUGGUUGAAAGAUGAGAUACUGGUGUCGCACGCAUCAAGGUGCCUAUCUUGCCUUUCUAA
rnacentral:lncRNA from 1 species